AUCCAGCUGACGAAUCCCAAAUAGGACGAAACCCGCAUCCUGGAU
rnacentral:hammerhead_ribozyme from 1 species